GAGUUUGAUCCUGGCUCAGGAUGAACGCUGGCGGCGUGCUUAACACAUGCAAGUCGAACGGGAAAUAUUUCAUUGAGACUUCGGUGGAUUUGAUCUAUUUCUAGUGGCGGACGGGUGAGUAACGCGUGGGUAACCUGCCUUAUACAGGGGGAUAACAGUCAGAAAUGACUGCUAAUACCGCAUAAGCGCACAGGACCGCAUGGUCUGGUGUGAAAAGGAUUUAUUCGCUUCAGGAUGGACUCGCGUCCAAUUAGCUAGUUGGUGAGGUAACGGCCCACCAAGGCAACGAUUGGUAGCCGGACUGAGAGGUUGAACGGCCACAUUGGGACUGAGACACGGCCCAGACUCCUACGGGAGGCAGCAGUGGGGGAUAUUGCACAAUGGGGGAAACCCUGAUGCAGCGACGCCGCGUGGAGGAAGAAGGUUUUCGGAUUGUAAACUCCUGUCGUUAGGGACGAUAAUGACGGUACCUAACAAGAAAGCACCGGCUAACUACGUGCCAGCCGCCGCGGUAAUUC
rnacentral:rRNA from 1 species